rnacentral:rRNA from 1 species
CCUUUCCUUGUUUCUUCCGCCUAUAUACCACCGUCGUCAGCUUACCCUGUGAAGGCCUAAUAGUAAGCAAAAUUGGUAUAACCCAAAACGUCAGGUCGCGGUGUAGCGUAUGGAAGGGGAAGAAAUGGGCUACAUUCGCUAACACAGCGAAUACGAAUGAUACACUGAAAUACGUAUACUGAAGGAGGAUUUAGCAGUAAGCAGAAAAUAGAGCGUUCUACUGAAACUGGCCCUGAAGCGCGCACACACCGCCCGUCACUCUCCCCAAGCCUACAACAUCAAAUAAAUAAAACAACACAACUGCAAAGGGGAGGCAAGUCGUAACAUGGUAAGUGUACCGGAAGGUGCGCUUGGAAAAAU